rnacentral:rRNA from 1 species
UGGGGAAUAUUGCACAAUGGGCGCAAGCCUGAUGCAGCCAUGCCGCGUGUAUGAAGAAGGCCUUCGGGUUGUAAAGUACUUUCAGUCGGGAGGAAGGUGGUAAGGUUAAUAACCUUAUCAAUUGACGUUACCGACAGAAGAAGCACCGGCUAACUCCGUGCCAGCAGCCGCGGUAAUACGGAGGGUGCAAGCGUUAAUCGGAAUUACUGGGCGUAAAGCGCACGCAGGCGGUUGAUUGAGUCAGAUGUGAAAUCCCCGGGCUUAACCCGGGAAUUGCAUCUGAUACUGGUCAGCUAGAGUCUUGUAGAGGGGGGUAGAAUUCCAUGUGUAGCGGUGAAAUGCGUAGAUAUCUGGAGGAACACCGAUGGCGAAGGCAGGUCACUGGGCCAUUACUGACGCUGAGGAGCGAAAGCAUGGGUAGCGAACAGG